rnacentral:tRNA from 1 species
UUCAGAAUAGCUUAAACUAAAGCAUUGAUUUUGUAAUUCAAAGAUAUAAUUUUUUCUGAAA